rnacentral:rRNA from 1 species
UAACGCGUGGAUAACCUGCCGUAUACCGGGGGAUAACACUUAGAAAUAGGUGCUAAUACCGCAUAAGCGCACGGCUCCGCAUGGGGCAGUGUGAAAAACUCCGGUGGUAUACGAUGGAUCCGCGUCUGAUUAGCUAGUUGGCGGGGUAACGGCCCACCAAGGCAGCGAUCAGUAGCCGGCCUGAGAGGGUGGACGGCCACAUUGGGACUGAGACACGGCCCAAACUCCUACGGGAGGCAGCAGUGGGGAAUAUUGCACAAUGGGGGAAACCCUGAUGCAGCGACGCCGCGUGAGUGAAGAAGUAUCUCGGUACGUAAAGCUCUAUCAGCAGGGAAGAAAAUGACGGUACCUGACCAAGAAGCCCCGGCUAACUACGUGCCAGCAGCCGCGGUAAUACGUAGGGGGCAAGCGUUAUCCGGAUUUACUGGGUGUAAAGGGAGCGUAGACGGCAGCACAAGUCUGGAGUGAAAUCCCGGGGCUUAACCCCGGAACUGCUUUGGAAACUGUGCGGCUGGAGUGCAGGAGGGGUAAGCGGAAUUCCUAGUGUAGCGGUGAAAUGCGUAGAUAUUAGGAGGAACACCGGUGGCGAAGGCGGCUUACUGGACUGUAACUGACGUUGAGGCUCGAAAGCGUGGGGAGCAAACAGGAUUAGAUACCCUGGUAGUCCACGCCGUAAACGAUGAUUACUAGGUGU